UUGUUAGGUUGGGUUCUCUUGGGUGAGGUUUUCAACAAAAAGCAAGCGGGGCAAGGGUUUUUAUGCCCAUUUCAAUUGGAAAAAUUGGGAUGGGAGCGAUUCUACCUCUUUUAAGAUGGCAAAGCUUGUUGGUUAUCUCAGAAAUAGAUGGCAAGAAUGUUAUACCCAAUUUUGGACCUCUUAAUGGAGUUAGUAUUGUAUGGUAUCUAGUUAUACACACAGAUA
rnacentral:misc_RNA from 1 species